GCUGCCUGAGUGACUGCAACAUGCGAAGCAAAUCUAUGAACCUCUGCUUUUUUCUAUUGGCCACCGUGGUAACCUCUGCUCUUGUACGAGGACAUGGGUUCAUGGAGUGGUUAAAAGACCCAAACCACGCUAAUUGCGCAGGAAUAUGUGACCCAAGAAGUUGCCAGUCUGGCUGCAAUUCUCCAUGUUUCUGUUUCCCCACGGACCAGAUAGGAGGACAAAACGGCAUUUGUCUCGAUCGGACAAAACCGCUGCCCAGCGGUCUGCUAGAUUCAUAUCGAAGAGGACUCACCAAUUGAUCACACGAACAUUCGAAAUAUUCGUGCGCAAUAUAUGUUCUGAGUAUGCGUUCCGGAUCGUUCCUAUAUAAACAGCAACGCUGUGAUCACAAUUUUCAAUUUUUACGUUCCUUAUCUUUCAUUAAUUCAGCAGUGUUCCUUAUAUAUAACCGUGCGAGAGGUGACAAUAUUUAAUGAACGAUUUUUCAUGUAAGGCAAGGUAAUGCAAUAAAAAGAAAAUGCGUUCAUCCACUUUUUUGGUUCAGUUACGAAGCAAGAUAUCGGAAACGCACAAC